rnacentral:rRNA from 1 species
GUAGGUGGCAAGCGUUGUCCGGAAUUAUUGGGCGUAAAGCGCGCGCAGGCGGUUUUUUAAGUCUGAUGUGAAAGCCCACGGCUCAACCGUGGAGGGUCAUUGGAAACUGGAGAACUUGAGUACAGAAGAGGAAAGCGGAAUUCCACGUGUAGCGGUGAAAUGCGUAGAGAUGUGGAGGAACACCAGUGGCGAAGGCGGCUUUCUGGUCUGUAACUGACGCUGAGGCGCGAAAGCGUGGGGAGCAAACAGGGAUUAGAUACCCUGGUAGUCCACGCCGUAAACGAUGAGUGCUAAGUGUUAGGGGGUUUCCGGCCCCCUUAGUGCUGCAGCUAACGCAUUAAGCACUCCGCCUGGGGAGUACGGCCGCAAGGCUG